CGGAGGGUGCAAGCGUUAUCCGGAUUCACUGGGUUUAAAGGGAGCGUAGGUGGGUUGGUAAGUCAGUGGUGAAAUCUCCGAGCUUAACUUGGAAACUGCCAUUGAUACUAUCAGUCUUGAAUAUUGUGGAGGUCAGCGGAAUAUGUCAUGUAGCGGUGAAAUGCUUAGAGAUGACAUAGAACACCAAUUGCGAAGGCAGCUGGCUACACAUAUAUUGACACUGAGGCUCGAAAGCGUGGGGAUCAAACAGGAUUAGAUACCCUGGUAGUCCACGCCCUAAACUAUGGAUACUCGACAUACGCGAUACACUGUGUGUGUCUGAGCGAAAGCAUUAAGUAUCCCACCUGGGAAGUACGAUCGCAAGAUUG
rnacentral:rRNA from 1 species